UGACUAUAGGGCUGAUCCAAAGCCCAUUGAAAUCAAUAGGCGUCUUUCUGCUGAUUCCAGUGAGCUUUGGAUCAGCCCUAAAUGAA
rnacentral:pre_miRNA from 1 species